GGAUCAGCGCGUCGGUCGUGCCACCGGUAUGUACUGGCUUUACUGGUUCCUCCUUCUUGAAGAACUGUGAUGUCAUUUAUUUGGUGUUGCAGGGAAACAGGACUGUUACUUUGAAAAAAUUAGAGUGUUUAAAGCAGGCUAACGCUUGAAUACAUUAGCAUGGAAUAAUGAAAUAGGACGUUUGAUCCUAUUUUGUUGGUUUCUAGGAUUGACGUA
rnacentral:rRNA from 1 species